rnacentral:rRNA from 1 species
GAUGAACGCUGGCGGCGUGCCUAAUACAUGCAAGUCGAGCGAACAGACGAGGAGCUUUCUCCUCUGACGUUAGCGGCGGACGGGUGAGUAACACGUGGAUAACCUACCUAUAAGACUGGGAUAACUUCGGGAAACCGGAGCUAAUACCGGAUAAUAUAUUGAACCGCAUGGUUCAAUAGUGAAAGACGGUUUUGCUGUCACUUAUAGAUGGAUCCGCGCCGCAUUAGCUAGUUGGUAAGGUAACGGCUUACCAAGGCAACGAUGCGUAGCCGACCUGAGAGGGGGAUCGGCGACACUGGAACUGAGACACGGUCCAGACUCCUACGGGAGGCAGCAGUAGGGAAUCUUCCGCAAUGGGCGAAAGCUUGACGGAGCAACGCCGCGUGAGUGAUGAAGGUCUUCGGAUCGUAAAACUCUGUUAUUAGGGAAGAACAAAUGUGUAAGUAACUAUGCACGUCUUGACGGUACCCAAUCAGAAAGCCACGGCUAACUACGUG